AGUACUAUACAAUGCGUAGUAACACGUAUGUUUCACCACGUCGAUAAGUUUCGUUUAGUUUCGUUUCGCAUUUCAAUUAAACUCACCGGGCGGAGUUGUCUGAAGAAUACGGAACGCGACGAAUUGGAAAUCCUUUAAGUUCACAGGGAAUGGAUCGGUUUGUGCUGAUUGACAGUGAAAAAAGACAGAACCUGGUUAGGAGCAGUGCUGUGUUUAUCAAAGAAUCUCUGAAAUUUAUUCAAUCAAUGAUGAUAAAUAGAAAUCUCAGCCAAGAGAGGGGAAGACGCUACAUUAAAGAGGUUGUUGAAACAACGGUGGACCGAAAUGUUUCUGAUGUUCUGCGAGUGCUGGAGAAUCUCAAUAACAACAUGGUUGUUCCCGGGUGCAGAAAUAAUAUCUUUGACAAUAUCUUUUGUUUGGGGGCCUCUGUUGUGAGCUUCUGCUAUUUUAAGGACAGAUGUCACAAAACCCAGAGAUACUUUGGCACUUCUGUGGGUUGCAAAGGGAAGAAACAGAAGAUGAUUUUCAUUGAUCUGGCCUGCAUUCAGACAUGGAAUCGAAAUGUGGCCCAUGCCGUGUGUUUGGCUGAUGCGCAUAAUAAGUCAAUUGAGCUUCCAACGAUGGUGUUAUCUGCAGCUUUUCGUGUGCGUGGGAAAAGCGUUCAUCAGUACAAAUCAGUGCCUCCAUGUUUACAUUGCUGCACAUUGUUUCCUAGUGUCACAUUUUUACCGGUGCCCGAGGCAGAUCCACCUACACCAUACUGGGGGUAUGGCAAUUGUGCCGAAUGUGAGGCCAUCAGCAAUCUUCUGAAUGCAGAGAUCAGGGUUAAUGAGCUAACACAGGAUCUCAAUACCAGCUUAGUGCCUAGUCUAGAGAUGUUGCUUCCAUUCCGUGAAGAACGACUGAGACAGAAUCUACGACAAUGCCAGUUUGACAUAAACCAAGAGUUCAGAUUUUAUAAUCCAGAAUAGCACAACAGUGCUGUCAGGAUGCGUGCUGCGAUCGCUGGUUAUAACGGGUGAUCGCUCAGGCAGGCGAACAGGAAACAGGCAGGCCGGUGGAAUUCGGGAUAACUGGGGACUUAUUUGGGAAGCACAGGACAGGACGGAAGAACAGCACGAACAUCGACUUAACAUCAAUGACGGACGAGGAACAAAGCCAAGACACGGACUGAAAUAGACAGGACUAGGCGAAAAUAAUCGGACACAGCUGGGCAAGAUCGGGGAAGCACACGUGGAUAAUCAGGGGGCGUGGCACACGCGAGGAUCGUACGAGCCGGGCAUGACAAGUGCUACACUGUAACUCCCCAAUCUCUUAGUAAGUCGCGGAUAGUUUUUAAAUAAUCAUCUUGCUAUAUUUUCAUUUGAAGAAAUAUAUGAUUGUAAUGUGCUAUUUGCCUCAUAUGCUGCUUUGGACAAAAGUGUCCACUACAUAAUUGUAAAUGUAAAUGUCCAAAUGCAAAAGCAUACAUCUCUGAAAACUCACGUCUCACAAUUUACAAAAUAGAACCACCGGGGGGAAAUACCUGACUAUAUCUAAGUUUGAAUUUGUUAUUUAUAGACAGCCUUUUUACAUUUAAUAAUUCCUGUGUUUAACAUUAUAGUUUGACCCUUCUGACAUUAAUACCAAAGAAAGAUAAAGCAAAAUGACCUUUUAUUCUUCAGUUUAAUGAGCAAUACACAUGUGCAGAUUUUUUUUUUAAGUUUAGUAAAAUUGCAUUGCUUUUUUAUGUAUUUAUUGCCUACUUUUACUUAUGUUAUUCUUUGUUGGUUUAUUUCUACCUGUUAUCCUUUUCUGUAUUUAUUUAUUCAUUCUGUAAUACUGGACAAAUAAAUCUCACUCGUUUUAUCUUA